AACGAACGCUGGCGGCGCGCCUAAUACAUGCAAGUCGAGCGAGAAGACGUAGCAAUACGUUUGUAAAGCGGCGAACGGGUGAGGAAUACAUGGGUAACCUACCCUCGAGUGGGGAAUAACUAGCCGAAAGGUUAGCUAAUACCGCGUACGCUCCUUGGACUUCGGUUCAGGGAGGAAAGCGAUACCGUGGGUAUCGCGCUCUUGGAUGGGCUCAUGUCCUAUCAGCUUGUUGGUGAGGAACGGCUCACCAAGGCUUCGACGGUAGCUGGUCUGAGAGGACGAUCAGCCACACUGGCACUGCGACACGGGCCAGACUCCUACGGGAGCAGCAGUAAGGAAUAUUGCGCAAUGGGCGAAAGCCUGACGCAGCGACGCCGCGUGGGGA
rnacentral:rRNA from 1 species